AUGGCACACAAACAUGCGCGCGCACAGGAGCGAGGGAGAACAGGAGUGGGAGAGAGACUGGAGAGGGUUCCAGGAGCCUCGCUUUCCAAGCAGGAAAACCUGCUUGCCUGGCCUUUAGCCGCAUUCACUCUCCUCCCCACCAGGUGUGCAUCACUGGAGCCAAGCGCACAAAUUCAGACCCACCUCAGAAAGGAGCUUCCCCCAGCCUUGGUGGGAAAGGGACUAACAUGGAAAAUGCUUCAUCUCUUGGUUCCUGGAGAAGCUGCAUGCCGGGUAUGUCUACGCUCUUUGGGCCUUGGAGACAUGAGAUGGAAGGACAAUCACAGUUCACAUAGUAUUGACUAGUCCCCUUGGAGCUCAAGAAGGAAUAGCCAGUAUUGGCCAGCAUUCUAGUAGCAACAAAACAUGAUCUAGUUCCAUCAUUUAAUUGGCUUCUCCCAGAAACCCCAGGGCAACUGCUGGCAGUCUGUGCAUCUUCUAGACGAGGCUACUUACCUGAGGUCACCCAGCUUAUAAAUAAUGGAGUAGAAAUUCCAACAGGCCAGACUGUGCUCCCAUCACUGACUUGGGGGCUUCCCGGGACCCUUUUCUUACCUCCCCCCUUCCCUGCCAGUAAAUAAGCUACUUGCAGUCCCAGCCCUUCACAGGCCUGACUUGGGCUUCCUGGGGGCCUACCCAGGUUAUGUGGGGCUGGUCUGGCCAAAACUGAGCUCUGGAUUCUGCUUUAGCUGUUUUCUUUUCCAUUUCAUUGUUUCCCUAGGAUGUCUGCCUUCCCAAAAUAGCACCAGGGCAUUCCAGGUAAACUCAACAUCCGACCAAAAUCCCCAUUCAGCCCGAGGGGUUCCG
rnacentral:lncRNA from 1 species